GCAAAUUGGGCGCAAAUUGGAUGUUGUGCGCAAGGGAAAGGACCCACCAAGCAAAUUCCCCACUUUUGAGUGAUAAUGUGCAAAUUGGGCCUGCCAAAUGAGCUGACACGCGGGCCUUUAUUUAUGCUAACAUCACUACUCUGUUAAAAGGUUAUUUAAAACCUUUCUUUUCCCAUUUUCCAUCUCAAACGCAGCCCCAUUUUUAAGCCAAAAAUCACAGCCUUGGAAGCAAAUUUCUAGGGUUUCUUUUGCUAGCAGCCGAACCACCAUUGUUUUGGUGAUCAACAGCAUGCAGAUGGUACUCAUCUUCCUCGUUGAAGGCGUUCGACCAUGCCUAGAGAAAUUUGGUACCAGUCUGUUGGCAUGCGACGGGUAUGGGUCUAGGCUGGAGCAGCAUGGGGGUACAGAGCUGAUGACGGAGGCCAAGGAUCUUGAGGGCAAACACGUCUUGCUAGGGCUUCAUCUUGGUUUAGUGUUCGGGCCUAUCGGGCCUUGUAAAUUUGGGCCAAGUUUUAAAAUUGGGUUUGGGUCCGAUAGGGUUAUUUAAUGGACUGAGGUUUAUUUAUUUAUUUAUUUAUUGUAUAUUUGGGUUUCUAGUGGGCCCGGGCAAAUUUGGCCCACUACAGCUGCCCCUCUUUGCUCAUUGUCGUGUAACGAGAAUAGAGCAAAGACUAUAAAUGGGCCAAUUUUGCCAGGGCCUGCUGAGCUUCGACUUCUUGGUGCUUCUUUUCUUCAAGUAUCUUCAAUAUGCUCCAUUGCAACUUCAUGGAGACAUAGUUCGUGGAUUUUUAUCCUACUCAACUGCGACUUCAGAGAGAUAAGGAUUAUGACUUUGACUUUGCUCCACUGCAACUUCAGGGAGACAAAAUCUUGCAAUCUUCGGCCUGUUGCCCUACAACUUAGGGGGUUAAGGCUUGUUUUCUCUGAUCUGCUCCACUAGAGACGAGAUCUGCAAUCGUCAGCCUACUCCACUACAACUUUAGGGAGCUAGGGUGAUGGCUUAAAUCUGCUUCACUGCAACUUUAGAAAGUCGAGAUUCGUCGUCUUUGAUUUGCUUCUUGUCAAUACAGAGACGCCAAAUAUGCUAUCUUCGAUCUGCUCUCCACCAAAACAGAGACUCUAAAUCUGCUAUCUUCGAUCUGCUCUCCGCCAAAACAGAGACGCCAAAUCUGCUAUCUUCGAUCUGCUCUCUGCCAAUACAGAGACGCCAAAUCUGCUAUCUUCGAUCUGCUCCCCGCCAAUAUAGAGAUGCCAAAUCUGAGAUCCUCGAUCUGCUCUCCGCCAAUACAGAGAUGCUAAAUCUGCUAUCUUCGAUCUGCUCUUUGCCAAUACAGAGACGCCAAAUCUGCUAGAUUUACCAAUGUUGCCAUACUGUCUUCUAAAGACAUGACGUGUAAUAUGGGUUUCCUAUAUUUGUGUAUGUCAAAUAACUAGGAUGCUAUGAUCGAGAUGAAUCAAGUGUUCCUAACUAAAUGAAUGAUUGUGAAUGUAGAAAUGUUAUGAGAGUGGUUUCUUUUUAAAUACUUAAGGUAUCAUUGCUCAUAA